UGCCAUUCUUAUGUUUUGUACAAUAAGAGAUGAGGUGUAAAGGUGUUUCGUGUUCAACAGAGGUACAGCUUAAUUAUUAUUGAGUGAGUGCUCAGAGAAGGUGAAAAGCCUGUGUGGUUGUGCUAACCUGUUGAACCGUGACACUGAAGAGUCUAGUUGUUUGAGAGUACAACUUAAAGCUGGUGGUAAAUUUCAUCAAAGGCUAAAUAUAUGAGGGGACUAAUAGCGAACAAGUACCAUGAGGGAAAGUUGAAAAGAACUCUGACGAGAGAGUUCAACAGUACGUGAAACCAUAUUGAGUAAAACAGAUAACUGUGUUGUUAUGUGGUGUGCCUAUCAACAGUCUAUUUGGUGUUGUGAUGCUAUGAGUGUAGGUUGUCUAUUCAGCUGAUUGCUCGUGGUUAGCAUAACCAGAGAUUCUGUGCACUAGUGCACACUCAAUCAUUGAGAAACUAUGCUGCUGCGGCAUCGGCGUGCAUCAGUCCGUACCUAGUACACAGUUGCAUGCUGGGCGUUAGCUAGCUGGCGUAGUUUAGCUGUGUGACAGCUGUGGGUUGCGUUUAUCAAAGGUAGCUGCUUUAUCUGCGAAUCGGUUCAUUCCUUUUUGCGGUGAGUAUGUUGCUGUAGGUAAGCGGCUCGCCAUCAAUGGUUAACAUUAGUUAUUUGACCCGUCUUGAAACACGGACCAAGGAGUUCAAAUGGCACGCGAGUCAUUGGGUUUUGACACCCGAAGGCGAAGUGAAAUGCAAACGUAUUGUUAUUUGUGGUUGUUCCAUGAUUAAGCGAUAAGCUACUCAUGCUUUCUGGCAUUUGUAGACUACAAGCG
rnacentral:rRNA from 1 species